rnacentral:rRNA from 1 species
UACGAAGGGGGGCUAGCGUUGUUCGGAAUUACUGGGCGUAAAGGGCGCGUAGGCGGCCCUCUAAGUCGAACGUGAAAUCCCCGGGCUCAACCCGGGAACUGCGUCCGAUACUGGAGGGCUCGAAUCCGGGAGAGGGAUGUGGAAUUCCAGGUGUAGCGGUGAAAUGCGUAGAUAUCUGGAGGAACACCGGUGGCGAAGGCGGCAUCCUGGACCGGUAUUGACGCUGAGGCGCGAAAGCCAGGGGAGCCAAACGGG